rnacentral:rRNA from 1 species
GUGGGGAAUAUUGGACAAUGGGGGCAACCCUGAUCCAGCCAUGCCGCGUGAGUGAUGAAGGCCUUCGGGUUGUAAAGCUCUUUUGGCGGGGACGAUGAUGACGGUACCCGCAGAAUAAGCCCCGGCUAACUUCGUGCCAGCAGCCGCGGUAAGACGAAGGGGGCUAGCGUUGUUCGGAAUUACUGGGCGUAAAGCGAGUGUAGGCGGUUGUCAUAGUCAGGUGUGAAAGCCUCGAGCUCAACUCGAGAAAUGCACUUGAUACUGGGCGACUAGAGGACCGGAGAGGAUAGUGGAAUUCCCAGUGUAGUGGUGAAAUACGUAGAGAUUGGGAAGAACACCAGUGGCGAAGGCGGCUAUCUGGACGGUUACUGACGCUAAGACUCGAAAGCGUGGGGAGCAAACAGGAUUAGAUACCCCAGUAGUCC